AGCAGCCGCGGUAAUUCCAGCUCCAAUAGCGUAUAUUAAAGUUGUUGCAGUUAAAAAGCUCGUAGUUGAAUUUCGGGGUUAGUAGGUUGGUCAUGCCUCUGGUAUGUACUGGUCUCACGUGAUUCCUCCUUCCUGAUGAGCCGUAAUGCCACUAAUUGGUGUGCGGGAAUUGGACUGUUACUUUGAAAAAAUUUAGAGUGUUUAAAGCAAGCUAACGCUUGAAUACAUUAGCAUGGAAUAAUGAAAUAGGACGUUCGAUCCUAUUUUGUUGGUUUCUAGGAUUGACGUAAUGAUUAAUAGGGAUAGUUGGGGGCAUUAGUAUUCAAUUGUCAGAGGUGAAAUUCUUGGAUUUAUUGAAGACUAACUACUGCGAAAGCAUUUGCCAAGGAUGUUUUCAUUAAUCAAGAACGAAAGUUAGGGGAUCGAAGACGAUCAGAUACCGUCGUAGUCUUAACCAUAAACUAUGCCGACUAGGGAUCGGAUGAUGUUAAUUUUUUAAUGACUCAUUCGGUGCCUUACG
rnacentral:misc_RNA from 1 species